GCUUCAGGCAGCCGGGGCCGGAAAUGUCGGAAACAGCGGCUGUAGGAAUAUCACCUUUUCUGCCUCAUUUUCUAUCGAGCUGCAGGGACAAGUGGGCUAGGCUGAGUAAUGGGCCCCUCCCAGCGCAUCUGGGUCCCAACGUGUCCGGGUCCUAAUCUCCACGAUCUGUGAAGAUGUUAACUCAGGUGAAGAAGAGGACUUUGUAGGUGUGAUGAAGGGUUUUGAGACAGGAGACCACUCUGGAUUCUCCCGGUGGGCCCGACGCCAUCAUGGGGCCUUUGUGAGAGAGAGGCUGAGGCUGACUGAGGAUGGAGUCCCACCCACUGGGAAAGGGAGAGGCCCCCAGGGUCCCAAACUCCAGGGACAAGAGAAGACUCAAGGAGGGAUCCGGAGGCCAAGGCUGGAGAGCAGCUAUGGGACCUUCCCUCCCACAGGUGGUGGGACAAGGGGGGUCUGGACAUGUCAUCGUGGCAUGGAGCCUGUUUUGUGACUAAAAGCAGCCGGAUGGGAAGCCCGAGGGCGACCAGGAGAGUCUUGCAGCAGUAGCAGCUCUUCCCCAGAGACAAAGAGCACCGGGGCGGAGGGGGCACAGGGGACACCAAGGCUGCAUUUUGCCACCAGCCCCACCGCCCGCAAGGCUGACUGCCGCUCCCGCCCAUGCUCUUCCCUGCUGGCCCAGGUCCAGCCUCUGCCGUGCCUGUGCCCCCUCGGCCUCCCUGCCUGGGCUCCCCAGGCCACCCACACUGCCCAGCUGCUCCUGCAACUCUCCACAGCCCCAUCGUGGGGACGCGCCGGAGACAUCCCUGGACAUUCCAGACGUCCCUGCCCUCCGGCAGGAGAGCCCAUUUCCUGCCACUUUGUGUGGUUCUUGGGGCUCUCCACGGCCUCCCUCCCUCGCCCUGUGUGCUCUGUCCCCACUGUCCCCAGACUGCUUCUGCCCUGGGAGCACAGCACGUGCCCCAGGACCUUUGUGCAUACUCUUCCCAAGUCAGUCUCUCCCCUGCCCCUUCACACUUCCUCCUUCCUGGAAGUCCUACAGCGUCCUCUGCAGCGGCACAUCCGUCACUCUUCAUGGAGCCAUGGCCACUGCUCCUGGGCAGAGCCCGCCCUCCCUCCCUUCCUCCUGAGGAUGUCCUGGCACUUUAUUCCUUUCCAGCAAAAGGAACUGCGCUCAAAGUGGGAUAUGGGGCAGGCAAGAUGUGGCCUCGUCCUGAGGACCUUCGGGACACGGUGUACGGAGACGCUGACAGGCAGAGAGGCAUCAGGACCGUGGCAGUGACAGGGGUGCGAGUCAAGCCCGAUGUGACUUGGGCUGCAGUCAUAGUACAUGGUUAGGGGACACGAGGACACACGCCCCUCACUACUGUAAUAGGUUAACUUACUUAUGGAAUGUAAUAGAUACCUUGUUGCAAACUGCUUCCCCUCCCCUUCUCUGUGGUCACUAAGAUCCGCCCAAGGCCAAGCUUACAGAACAUUCUCUUGGUCAUGGCUAACUAUGACUGGUCAUUUUAAAAGAACAAAGAACUUUAAAUUGAUAGGUUCCCCUGCAAACUAGCAUCUAUGUAUUACAAUGUAAUUGGCUACCAUGGAAUGAUAUGAAUGUAAUUGGUGAACUAAAUAAUGACGUAUUCUGUCCAUAUAAUCUCACUGCCGCCUUUGUUCGGGCCAUUCUCUGCUCCUUAAAACCAGGAGACCAGGACUGGCCCAGCCGUGAAUAAAGUCUUGCCUAAAAUGU